CCAUGACUAGUUCUCAAAAUUAAAUUCUCUCUCAAGUUUAGGCAUGACUGUUAUGAAUUAAGAUUUGCUCUAAACCUAAACUUGUGGGAAGAGUGCCUGAUUAAAAGUCUAAGUCAUUAACGGAUAUGAUAUGGGAAGGUUGAGCUGCUGUUUAUCUGUUCCUAGAGAUGCUAGAAUUCUGGAGAAUUUUAUCUUUGAACAUCUUUAAAAUGUUGCAUGAUGAGUUCCUGUAUGAUGAGAGUUUAAAAUCCUACCACAGCCAUAUAUACAUGCUUAUUAGACUAUGAACCAUACAUUUACUUUUUACUGCUUAUGAGCAUUGAGUGUGGUCAAGCUAUGUAGACCCUUAGGAGCUUGUCAUGCGGUUAAAAUCAAGAUUCACUUGCACGUUCACUCAUACAUGCUGCUUCUACUCCGAAAGUACGCAUCCACAUACAUCCACUCAUUUCCAUCUCCAGAAUCACCCAAAAUUAUUCUACUCCUAUCCAGAAAGAGAAUAAGUAAAAACAUUAUCCUAUCCCUAUUAUUCUCCGUGAAAUAAAUGCUCGAGAUAUUUUGGUUACUACCACUGGCUACAUUAUUCCAGGAGGUUGAGUGCUUUGAAAAAAAAAUAAUAUGAGGAAAUAAAAAGGGGCAAGUGCCCGGAACCUCGAAGAAAAGAAAAAGUGAGACGAGAGGUAAAAAUGGACAAGUGUCCGAUAGUAGAAUUAGGGGUACAAGAUACCCACCUGAGAGAAAAAAAAGAAAAUAUAGAGCAUCUCAUUCCCCUCAAAAAGCUUCAAAGUGCAAGAAAGGUAUGUAUCCCCUCAAAAGAGCAAAAGUAGAAUUAGACUUUCACCAUUGCUUUCACCAUUGUUUUCACCAUCAUCACCAUACACCAUUCAUUCGCUACACAUGCACAUAUUGAUUUGACUUAUUGACUUGUUUCUCUGGAUCCAUGGUUUGACUAUGCAAUAAAUGUCUUGUAAGUAUGUAUUAGCUGUCUCCCUCCUAUGAGCUCCAGAUAUCAAAACCUUAUUAGAGUAGAGUGAGAGAGAAGGCAAUGUCACUAUGCCUCAUACCAAAAAUACCACAUACUUUGAGAGAAGGCAUACGCCAUCAUUGCCUUGGUAAGGAUCUAGAAAUACCACAAAAGAGAGAAUAGAGAGAGUCAUGCAAGGAAUCUCUGAGUUUUAUUUUUAAAAUCUGCCAAAACUCCAGAGCUAUAGUUGAUCAAAGAACAAGAGACAUGGUGCUUGACUUGACCAUUCUAUCUUUUAACUGCUCAAGACAUAAGUGACGGUUGCAAGCCUCAUGGUGAAAGGUAAAAUGAGUAAGUUUUAAGUCGUAACAGUUUACCCUAACCUAGAGAUGAGAUCUUGUUUGAAUGCAUGUGUACCUUUAAGGCAUGAAACUACUACAGAAACUCUUGAGUCCAUCCUUUCUCAGGGACGAGCAAGAGGUAAGCUUGGGGG
rnacentral:lncRNA from 1 species